rnacentral:rRNA from 1 species
CCUACGGGUGGCAGCAGUGGGGGAUAUUGCACAAUGGGGGGAACCCUGAUGCAGCGACGCCGCGUGGGUGAAGGAGCGUUUCGGCGCGUAAAGCCCUAUCGGCAGGGAAGCAGGAGGACGGUACCUGCCUAAGAAGCCCCGGCUAACUACGUGCCAGCAGCCGCGGUAAUACGUAGGGGGCAAGCGUUAUCCGGAUUUACUGGGGGUAAAGGGGGCGCAGACGGCAGCGCAAGCCAGGAGUGAAAGCCCGGGGCCCAACCCCGGGACUGCUCUUGGAACUGCGCGGCUGGAGUGCAGGAGGGGCAGGCGGAAUGCCUGGUGUAGCGGUGAAAUGCGUAGAUAUCAGGCGGAACACCGGUGGCGAAGGCGGCCUGCUGGUCUGCGACUGACGUUGAGGCCCGAAAGCGUGGGGAGCGAACAGGAUUAGAUACCCGGGUAGUC